rnacentral:rRNA from 1 species
AUUGAACGCUGGCGGCAGGCCUAACACAUGCAAGUCGAGCGAGCGGCGGACGGGUGAGUAAUGUAUGGGGACUGCCCGAUAGAGGGGGAUAACUACUGGCAAAGGUGGCUAAUACCGCAUACUAUCGGAUAACCCAUAUGGGAUUAGCUAGUAGGGGGGGUAAAGGCUCACCUAGGAGACGAUCCCUAGCUGGUCUGAGAGGAUGAUCAGCCACACUGGGACUGAGACACGGCCCAGACUCCUACGGAGGCAGCAGUGGGGAAUAUUGGACAAUGGGCGAAAGCCUGAUGCAGCAAUGCCGCGUGUAUGAAGAAGGUCUUAGGGUUGUAAAGUACUGUCAGCGGGGAGGCGUUACCCGCAGAAGAAGCACCGGCUAACUCCGUGCCAGCAGCCGCGGUAAUAC